GCUCAGGAUGAACGCUGGCGGCGUGCCUAAUACAUGCAAGUCGAGCGAAUGGAUURAGAGCUUGCUCUYAWGAAGUUAGCGGCGGACGGGUGAGUAACACGUGGGUAACCUGCCCAUAAGACUGGGAUAACUCCGGGAAACCGGGGCUAAUACCGGAUAAYAUUUUGAACUGCAUGGUUCGAAAUUGAAAGGCGGCUUCGGCUGUCACUUAUGGAUGGACCCGCGUCGCAUUAGCUAGUUGGUGAGGUAACGGCUCACCAAGGCAACGAUGCGUAGCCGACCUGAGAGGGUGAUCGGCCACACUGGGACUGAGACACGGCCCAGACUCCUACGGGAGGCAGCAGUAGGGAAUCUUCCGCAAUGGACGAAAGUCUGACGGAGCAACGCCGCGUGAGUGAUGAAGGCUUUCGGGUCGUAAAACUCUGUUGUUAGGGAAGAACAAGUGCUAGUUGAAUAAGCUGGCAC
rnacentral:rRNA from 1 species